AGUGCAGUGAAGGAUGCACUAGUAUCAUCCAAACCUUUAUCAGACAUCUUCGAAUCUUUUUGCCUUAGAGGUUUUUUCAGGUCCAUCUUACGCCUGCUUCUGACUUUAGUAGGCAAAUUCACCUGGUUUUCCACAGGGAUCUGGGCAGUUGAUUGAGCUGAAUCACUUCGUUCUGUUCUUGGAUCUGCACAUGAUGAAUGCUCCUGAUCUUUGAUAAAUUUAGGCGAGACCUGAUAGGAUCUUUUACCCUUAUUGGUUGACUUCUUUGAUGCUUCUUUUGCCGCAGCUUCCUG
rnacentral:misc_RNA from 1 species